rnacentral:SRP_RNA from 1 species
GGCAGGCGUGGUGCCUGUAGUCCCAGCUACUCAGGAGGCUGAGGUGGGAGGAUUGCUUGAGUCCAGGAGUUCGGGGCUGCAGUGCGCUAUGUCGAUGGGGUAUCCGCACUAAGUUGGGCAUCAAUAUGGUGACCUCCCGGGAGCGAGGGACCACCAGGUUGCCUAAGGAGGGGUGGACUGGCCCAGGUCGGAAACGGAGCAGGUGGAAACUCCCGUGCUGAUCAGUAGUGGGAUCGGGCCUGUGAAUAGCCAAGGUACUCUGGCCUGGGCAACAUAGCGAGACCCCGUCUCA